UACGACUACAUAUCAGGCAUAUCAAUAAGCGGAGGAAAAGAAACUAACAAGGAUUCCCUUAGUAACGGCGAGUGAAGCGGGAAGAGCUCAAAUUUGAAAUCUUCAAGGUUCUACCUUGACGAAUUGUAGUUUAGAGAAGUGUUUUCUGUUAGAUGAGUAGCAAAAGUUCCUUGGAAUGGGACAUCAUAGAGGGUGAGAAUCCCGUAUUUGGUUAUUCAUUCUAGCUUUGUGAUACACUUUCAAAGAGUCGGAUUGUUUGGGAAUGCAGUCCAAAAUGGGUGGUAAAUUUCAUCUAAAGCUAAAUAUUGGCGAGAGACCGAUAGCGAACAAGUACCGUGAGGGAAAGAUGAAAAGAACUUUGAAAAGAGAGUUAAACAGUACGUGAAAUUGUCAAAAGGGAAGCGUUUGACACCAGUGUUGUUUAGUUGAAAAUCAAUUCAAUAGUUUUUGAUUCUAAGUAGUAUUGACUUCAUCAGCUUGCUGCUUUCUUCUCAGAAAUUAUUGAAUGCACUUUUCAGUUAACAAGUCAACAUCAAUUUCUUUUGUUGUAAAAGGGUAAGAGGAAGGUGGCUUGCGCUUCGGCUCAAGUGUUUAUAGCCUUUUAUCUCUGCAAUCGGAGAGAUUGAGGUCUGCAGCGUAGAUCCUUCGGGGUUAGAUACAUUGGUGCUAAGCUAUAGCCUUGUAUAGACAACUUGUUGACUAUGCUCAGUCAUGUAGCUUACUCGCUGAUGCUAUUUUACCUACGCUUAGGAUGUUGAGUAGCGACAUACGCAC
rnacentral:rRNA from 1 species